rnacentral:misc_RNA from 1 species
GUAGGUGAACCUGCGGAAGGAUCAUUUUUGUUGCUUAAUAGACUUGAGGGGUUAACCCUCGAGCGUUGACUGAACACGUCUCAGUGUAUAUUGUAUACUGGGGUUGAACAUGGCAUUGUCUGACUAGUUUUAAUAUAAAAAACUUUCAACAACGGAUCUCUAGGCUCUU